rnacentral:rRNA from 1 species
AUUGAACGCUGGCGGCAUGCUUUACACAUGCAAGUCGAACGGCAGCACGAGUGCUUGCACUUGGUGGCGAGUGGCGAACGGGUGAGUAAUACAUCGGAACGUGUCUUAAAGUGGGGGAUAACGCAUCGAAAGAUGUGCUAAUACCGCAUAAUCUCUAAGGAGAAAAGUAGGGGAUCGAAAGACCUUACGCUUUUGGAGCGGCCGAUGUCUGAUUAGCUAGUUGGUAGGGUAAAGGCUUACCAAGGCAACGAUCAGUAGUUGGUCUGAGAGGAUGGCCAACCACACUGGGACUGAGACACGGCCCAGACUCCUACGGGAGGCAGCAGUGGGGAAUUUUGGACAAUGGGGGAAACCCUGAUCCAGCAAUGCCGCGUGAGUGAAGAAGGCCUUCGGGUUGUAAAGCUCUUUCAGUUGAGAAGAAAAGAUUAUGACUAAUAAUCAUAAUUCAUGACGGUAUCAGCAGAAGAAGCACCGGCUAACUACGUG